UACAGAGGGGGCAAGCGUUGUUCGGAAUUACUGGGCGUAAAGGGCGCGUAGGCGGCCUGUUAAGUCGAACGUGAAAUCCCUGGGCUCAACCCAGGAACUGCGUCCGAUACUGGCAGGCUUGAAUCCGGGAGAGGGAUGUGGAAUUCCAGGUGUAGCGGUGAAAUGCGUAGAUAUCUGGAGGAAUACCGGUGGCGAAGGCGGCAUCCUGGACCGGCAUUGACGCUGAGGAGCGAAAGCGUGGGGAGCGAACAGG
rnacentral:rRNA from 1 species